rnacentral:rRNA from 1 species
UGAGGGAGCUUGCUCCUUGAUUCAGCGGCGGACGGGUGAGUAAUGCCUAGGAAUCUGCCUGGUAGUGGGGGACAACGUUUCGAAAGGAACGCUAAUACCGCAUACGUCCUACGGGAGAAAGCAGGGGACCUUCGGGCCUUGCGCUAUCAGAUGAGCCUAGGUCGGAUUAGCUAGUUGGUGAGGUAAUGGCUCACCAAGGCGACGAUCCGUAACUGGUCUGAGAGGAUGAUCAGUCACACUGGAACUGAGACACGGUCCAGACUCCUACGGGAGGCAGCAGUGGGGAAUAUUGGACAAUGGGCGAAAGCCUGAUCCAGCCAUGCCGCGUGUGUGAAGAAGGUCUUCGGAUUGUAAAGCACUUUAAGUUGGGAGGAAGGGCAUUAACCUAAUACGUUAGUGUUUUGACGUUACCGACAGAAUAAGCACCGGCUAACUUCGUGCCAGCAGCCGCGGUAAUACGAAGGGUGCAAGCGUUAAUCGGAAUUACUGGGCGUAAAGCG